rnacentral:rRNA from 1 species
UAGUACCGUGAGGGAAAGGUGAAAAGUACCCCGAGAGGGGAGUGAAAAGACCUGAAACCGUGUGCUGACAAGCAGUCAGAGUCCCGAUGCGAAUCGGGAUGAUGGCGUGCCUAUUGAAGAAUGAGCCGGCGAGUUAAUCAGUGUGGCUGGUUAAGUGAUUUUAAUCAUGGAGCCGUAGCGAAAGCGAGUCUGAAUAGGGCGUUGUCCCGACUUGUCGGGACGGGUCGCACGGAUUAGACCCGAAGCUGGGUGAGCUAUCCAUGACCAGGAUGAAACCUCGAUAAACUCGAGGUGAAGGUCCGAACUGGUGAGCGUUACAAAGCUCUCAGAUGAGUUGUGGAUAGAGGUGAUAUGCCAAACGAACCCAGGGAUAGCUGGUACUCCCCGAAAUGUAUUUAGGUACAGCCUCAGAUGUUCGCUAAUGGAGGUAGGGCUCUGGAUGGAUUCGGGAGAUAACACCUUACCAACUCCAACUAAACCACAAAUGCCAUUAGCCAAAAUCUGGGAGUGAGACUGUGGGGGAUAAGCUUCAUAGUCGAGAGGGAAACAGCCCAGACCAUCAGCUAAGGUCCCCAAGCGCUAACUAAGUGGAAAAGGAAGUAGUGUUGCAUAGACAGCCAGGAGGUUGGCUCAGAAGCAGCCAUCCUUAAAAGAGUGCGUAAGAGCUCACUGGUUGAGUGGUGCUGCGCCGAAAAUCUAACGGGGCUCAAGUUAGCCACCGAAGCUAUGGCUCCGAUGCAAAUCGGAGGGUAGGGGAGCGUUCUCUCAGCAGUGAAGUUCUUCCGUGAGGAAGGAUGGAGCUCAGAGAAGUGAGAAUGCCGGCAUGAGUAGCGCGAGGCGUGUGAAAAACACGCCCACCGGAAACCUAAGGUUUCCUAUGCAAGGUUAAUCCGCAUAGGGUUAGUCGGGCCUAAGCCGAGGCCGGAAGGCGUAGGCGAUGGACAACGGGUUAUUAUUCCCGUACCGUUUCCAUGGAGGCAAAGGGAGAACACGGGAGGGUAGGCUGAGCAUACCCAUCGGACAUGGUGUGUUCUUCAUCAAAGGUGAGGCUGGGGCAGGAAAAUCCACUCCAGAUAUUAUAGCUGAAGAUGAGGAGAAGCUGAGGGGAGACUCAAGGCAACCUAGCCGAACCCAUGCCGUCAAGAAAAGUCUCGUUGCCAUUGAAGUGGGAGCGCCCGUACCGCAAACCGACUCUGGUAGGUUAGGAUAAAAGUCCUAAGGUGUUCGAGUAAUCCCUCGUUAAGGAACUCGGCAAUCUAACCCCGUAACUUCGGAAGAAGGGGUGCCCCGAUUAUGUCGGGGUGACAUUAAAUUGGCCCAAGCAACUGUUUAACAAAAACACAGGUCUCUGCUAAAGCGUAAGCUGAAAUAUAGAGGCCGAUACCUGCCCAGUGCUGGAAGGUUAAGGGGAGAAGUCAUUCCGAGCAAUCGGGAGAAGCCUUGAACUGAAGCCCCAGUGAACGGCGGCCGUAACUAUAACGGUCCUAAGGUAGCGAAGUCCCUUGUCGGGUAAGUUCCGACCCGCACGAAUGGUGUAAUGACUUGGGCGCUGUCUCAACGAGGGGCUCGGCGAAAUUGAAAUACCCGUGCAGAUACAGGUUACCCGCGACAGGACAAAAAGACCCCGUGGAGCUUUACUAUAGCUUGGCACUGAGUCUGGGCUUUCCUUGUGUAGGAUAGGUGGGAGGCUUUGAAGCCCCGACGCUAGUCGGAGUGGAGCCAACGUUGAAAUACCACCCUUGGUAAGUUUAGCCUCUAACCCCAGAACAAGCUGGGGGACCGUGUCUGGUGGGUAGUUUGACUGGGGCGGUCGCCUCCCAAACAGUAACGGAGGCGCCCAAAGGUCCCCUCAGAGUGUAUGGAAAUCACUCAGUGAGCGCAUUGGCAUAAGGGGGCUUGACUGUAAGACUCACAAGUCGAGCAGGGACGAAAGUCGGGCAAAGUGAUCCUACGGCAC